UACGUAGGGCGCAAGCGUUUGUCCGGAAUUAUUGGGCGUAAAGAGCUCGUAGGCGGCUUGUCGCGUCUGUUGUGAAAGCCCGGGGCUUAACCCCGGGUCUGCAGUGGAUACGGGCAGGCUAGAGGCAGGUAGGGGAGAACGGAAUUCCCGGUGUGAGCGGUGAAAUGACGUAGAUAUCUGGAGGAACACCGGUGGCGAAGGCGGCAUCCUGGACCGGUAUUGACGCUGAGGCGCGAAAGCCAGGGGAGCAAAGCGGG
rnacentral:rRNA from 1 species